CGCGACAGAAAUGGUAUGCAAAGUUCUCUGGUGAUAGUUUAUUGCAAAACUUACUGUAUUGUCCGCGUCCAAUUUAUGUUUCUCUGCUUUGCUUUAAUGAAAACAUAUGCUUGUUAUAUUUCUAGUUUUUUUUUACAAAAAUACAGAGCUCCAAGGAAAAUUUAAAACGGAAAGUCUGUUAUCAAAUGGCGAAGUAAGAGCUCAAUUACAUCAAACGAACGAAAAACAAAUAUCAUAUUCCUGACCUGAUUCCUUGAUGCAUUUCCUUAUGUAGAAAAUGGUGGGUUUAAACACAGUUAUAUGAAUAUUGUUUCUUGUAC
rnacentral:lncRNA from 1 species